rnacentral:rRNA from 1 species
AUUGAACGCUGGCGGAAUGCUUUACACAUGCAAGUCGAACGGCAGCACGGACUUCGGUCUGGUGGCGAGUGGCGAACGGGUGAGUAAUGUAUCGGAACGUGCCCAGUCGUGGGGGAUAACGUAGUGAAAAUUACGCUAAUACCGCAUACGAUCUAUGGAUGAAAGCGGGGGAUCGCAAGACCUCGCGCGAUUGGAGCGGCCGAUAUCAGAAUAGGUAGUUGGUGGGGUAAAGGCCCACCAAGCCAACGGUCUGUAGCUGGUCUGAGAGGACGACCAGCCACACUGGAACUGAGACACGGUCCAGACUCCUACGGGAGGCAGCAGUGGGGAAUUUUGGACAGUGGGCGAAAGCCUGAUCCAGCCAUUCCGCGUGCAGGAUGAAGGCCCUCGGGUUGUAAACUGCUUUUGUACAGAACGAAAAGGUUUCUACUAAUACUGGGAGCUCAUGACGGUACUGUAAGAAUAAGCACCGGCUAACUACGUGCCAGCCGCCGCGGUAA